rnacentral:rRNA from 1 species
GACGAACGCUGGCGGCGUGCUUAACACAUGCAAGUCGAACGGAAAGGCCCUGCUUGCAGGGUGCUCGAGUGGCGAACGGGUGAGUAACACGUGGGUGAUCUGCCCCUUACUUUGGGAUAGGCCUGGGAAACUGGGUCUAAUACUGGAUAGGACCAUGCUGUAGGUGGUGUGGUGGAAAGAUUAGUUUCGGUAAGGGAUGAGCUCGCGGCCUAUCAGCUUGUUGGUGGGGUAAUGGCCUACCAAGGCGUCGACGGGUAGCCGGCCGGAGAGGGUGGACGGCCACAUUGGGACUGAGAUACGGCCCAGACUCCUACGGGAGGCAGCAGUGGGGAAUAGUGCACAAUGGGCGCAAGCCUGAUGCAGCGACGCCGCGUGGGGGAUGACGGCCUUCGGGUUGUAAACUCCUUUCAGCCAUGACGAAGCCCUUGUGGUGACGGUAGUGGUAGAAGAAGCACCGGCUAACUACGUG